rnacentral:lncRNA from 1 species
GGAGAACCUGCCACAUAUGAAGCACUGUGUUAGGCACCACUAGAGAAGCACAGAUAAAAUGGAGAAGAUCAGGGAAAGUCUGAAUGAAGGCCAGCAGGCAGUAUCAGCCGAACCAAGAAGGGCCAUAAAGCUGCAGACCAGGAAAUCUGCCCUCUGAGAGCACAGAAUUUAGAAUGGACAGCAAAUUUAGUAAAAGUGUUCCAGCUAGAAGAUUUGGAUGAAAAGUGAUUCCAAAAAAAUGAGGCAAUCUCAUCCCGAAACUAUUUAAAACUACUCUCCUCUCUCUUGAUAAACCGUCAGUAGGAAGUGUGUCGUUUAUUCCCUCACUCCACACUGGAUUCAUAUGGGCUGAUAGCAGCAGGAUUAAAAAUUUUUUUCAUCAUGAGUUAAAUCCCUAAGAUUUAGAGUAUUUUGUUUGUCUGAAUGUCUAAGCGGUACAAACCUUAGCAAUCCAUAUUAAAAUGGAGAAUUCCUUCU